rnacentral:tRNA from 1 species
GAGGGUAUAGCUCAGUUGCAGAGCACGUGCUUAGCAGGCAGGAGGCCCUGGGUUCAAUCCCUAGGACCUCCA